UUUUUCUUUUCCUUUUUUUUUCUUUUUCUUCUUCUUCUUCUUCUUCUUCCUGUUAAAGGUUAAAAGAAAAGCCUGGCUGGCCUUGAUCGUUGCCCCUCCUCACGUUCGCGAUAUCAUCGUUCGCGACUUAUGUCACCGAUGCGUCCGAAGAACACACGCACGCACACACGGCGAGGUUGUUACACGUUUCUCUUUUUUUUUUUUUUUUUCGUU